rnacentral:rRNA from 1 species
UACGUAGGGUGCGAGCGUUGUCCGGAAUUACUGGGCGUAAAGAGCUCGUAGGUGGUUUGUCGCGUUGUUCGUGAAAACUCACAGCUUAACUGUGGGCGUGCGGGCGAUACGGGCAGACUGGAGUACUGCAGGGGAGACUGGAAUUCCUGGUGUAGCGGUGAAAUGCGUAGAUAUCAGGAGGAACACCGAUGGCGAAGGCAGGUCUCUGGGCUGACACUGACGCUCAUGCACGAAAGCGUGGGGAGCAAACAGG